rnacentral:rRNA from 1 species
CCUACGGGAGGCAGCAGUGAGGAAUAUUGGUCAAUGGCCGCAGGGCUGAACCAGCCAAGUCGCGUGAGGGAUGACGGUCCUAUGGAUUGUAAACCUCUUUUGUCAGGGAGCAAAGGGCGCCACGUGUGGCGCUUUGCGAGUACCUGAAGAAAAAGCAUCGGCUAACUCCGUGCCAGCAGCCGCGGUAAUACGGAGGAUGCGAGCGUUAUCCGGAUUUAUUGGGUUUAAAGGGUGCGCAGGCGGAAUGUCAAGUCAGCGGUAAAAUUUCGGGGCUCAACCCCGUCGUGCCGUUGAAACUGGCGUUCUUGAGUGAGCGAGAAGUAUGCGGAAGGCGUGGUGUAGCGGUGAAAUGCAUAGAUAUCACGCAGAACUCCGAUUGCGAAGGCAGCAUACCGGCGCUCAACUGACGCUCAUGCACGAAAGCGUGGGUAUCGAACAGGAUUAGAUACCCCAGUAGUC